rnacentral:rRNA from 1 species
AACGAACGCUAGCGGCAUGCCUAACACAUGCAAGUCGAACGAGACCUUCGGGUCUAGUGGCGCACGGGUGCGUAACGCGUGGGAAUCUGCCCUUGGGUUCGGAAUAACAGUUGGAAACGACUGCUAAUACCGGAUGAUGACGUAAGUCCAAAGAUUUAUCGCCCAAGGAUGAGCCCGCGUAGGAUUAGCUAGUUGGUGAGGUAAAGGCUCACCAAGGCGACGAUCCUUAGCUGGUCUGAGAGGAUGAUCAGCCACACUGGGACUGAGACACGGCCCAGACUCCUACGGGAGGCAGCAGUGGGGAAUAUUGGACAAUGGGCGAAAGCCUGAUCCAGCAAUGCCGCGUGAGUGAUGAAGGCCUUAGGGUUGUAAAGCUCUUUUACCCGGGAUGAUAAUGACAGUACCGGGAGAAUAAGCUCCGGCUAACUCCGUG